UGAUACCAUGGCUCAUUCCGUAGAGCAAGAGACUCUGAAUCCCAGGGUUGUGGGUCCGAGCCCCACUGGGUGAA